CGUAGGGUGCGAGCGUUAUCCGGAAUUAUUGGGCGUAAAGAGCUCGUAGGCGGUUUGUUCGCGUCUGUCGUGAAAAGUCCCGGGGCUUAACCCCGGAUCUGCGGUGGGUACGGGCAGACUAGAGUGCAGUUAGGGGGAGACUGGGAAUUCCUGGUGUAGCGGUGGAAUGACGCAGAUAUCAGGAGGGAACACCGAUGGCGAAGGCAAGUCUCCUGGGCUGUAACUGACGCUGAGGAGCGAAAGCAUGGGGGAGCGAACAGGAUU
rnacentral:rRNA from 1 species